GCUCCAGUAGCGCAAUUGGUAGCGCACGGUACUUAUAAUACCGGGGAUGUGAGUUCGAGCCUCACCUGGAGCG